GAGUUUGAUCCUGGYUCMKAACGAACGCYGGCGGCGUGCUUAACACAUGCAAGUCGAACGUGAUCCGGAGCUUGCUCCGGUGAAAGUGGCGCACGGGUGAGUAACGCSUGGAUAAUCUGCCCUGGUAUCUGGGAUAACAUCKCGAAAGGGGUGCUAAURCCGGAUAAGCCCACGGGAUCCUCGGAUUCUGCGGGAAAAGGUGGCCUCUAUUUAUAAGCUACCGUAUCAGGAUGAGUCCSCGKACCAUUAGCUAGUUGGUGGGGUAAUGGCCCACCAAGGCWACSAUGGUUAGCUGGUCUGAGAGGAUGAUCAGCCACMCUGGAACUGAGACACGGWCCAKACUCCUACGGGAGGCAGCAKUGGGGAAUUUUGCGCAAUGGGGGAAACCCUGACGCAGCAACGCCGCGUGAGUGAUGAAGGCUUUCGGGUCGUAAAGCUCUGUCAGAGGGGAAGAAAUGAGACUGGCUAAUAUCCAGUUUACUUGACGGUACCCUCAAAGGAAGCACCRGCUAACUCCGUGCCAGCAGCCGCGGUAAUAC
rnacentral:rRNA from 1 species